rnacentral:ncRNA from 1 species
GAAUAUCUGCCACCGGGUAGAAAAAUGCGAAAGCAUUCGUAGCAUAUCGUUAGGUCUUUGAAGAUAUGCGGCGAAUGCUUUUUUGUUU